UACGUAGGGGGCAAGCGUUGUCCGGAUUUAUUGGGCGUAAAGAGCGUGUAGGCGGCCAUGUAGGUCCGUUGUGAAAACUCGAGGCUCAACCUCGAGACGCCGAUGGAAACCAUGUGGCUAGAGUCCGGAAGAGGAGAGUGGAAUUCCUGGUGUAGCGGUGAAAUGCGCAGAUAUCAGGAGGAACACCAAUGCGAAGGCAGCUCGCUGGGACGUUACUGACGCUGAGACGCGAAAGCGUGGGGAGCAAACAGG
rnacentral:rRNA from 1 species